AGAGUUUGAUCCUGGCUCAGGAUGAACGCUAGCGACAGGCUUAACACAUGCAAGUCGAGGGGCAGCGGGGUAGUAAGCUUGCUUACUACUGCCGGCGACCGGCGCACGGGUGAGUAACACGUAUGCAACCUGGCCGUCACAGAGGGAUAACCGGGAGAAAUCCCGCCUAAUACCGCAUAAUACCGGGGAAGGACAUCCUUUUCCGGUUAAAGGAGCGAUCCGGUGACGGAUGGGCAUGCGCCGCAUUAGUUAGUUGGCGGUGUAACGGACCACCAAGACGACGAUGCGUAGGGGUUCUGAGAGGAAGGUCCCCCACACUGGUACUGAGACACGGACCAGACUCCUACGGGAGGCAGCAGUGAGGAAUAUUGGUCAAUGGGCGAGAGCCUGAACCAGCCAAGUCGCGUGAGGGAAGACGGCCCUAUGGAUUGUAAACCUCUUUUGCCGGGGAGCAAAAAGCGGUACGCGUACCGCAUCGAGAGUACCCGGAGAAAAAGCAUCGGCUAACUCCGUG
rnacentral:rRNA from 1 species